rnacentral:rRNA from 1 species
GUGAGGAAUAUUGGUCAAUGGGCGAGAGCCUGAACCAGCCAAGUCGCGUGAAGGAUGAAGGUUUUAUGAAUUGUAAACUUCUUUUGCAGGAGGGUAAAGUGAGCUACGUGUAGUUCAUUGCAAGUACCCUGCGAAUAAGCAUCGGCUAACUCCGUGCCAGCAGCCGCGGUAAUACGGAGGAUGCGAGCGUUAUCCGGAUUUAUUGGGUUUAAAGGGUGCGUAGGCGGACUAAUUAGUCAGCGGUGAAAUUUUGCGGCUCAACCGUAAAACUGCCGUUGAAACUGUCAGUCUUGAGUGCGGUAGAGGUAGGCGGAAUGUGUGGUGUAGCGGUGAAAUGCUUAGAUAUCACACAGAACACCGAUUGCGUAGGCAGCUUACUGGAGCGCAACUGACGCUGAGGCACGAAAGCGUGGGGAUCGAACAGGAUUAGAAACCCCAGUAGUCC